CUAAAGACCAUAUAGGUGACAUCCAGCCGGCAUCUGCAGGCACUAUUGCUUCAAACACAGGACCAAUUUCUCCAGAUGAUGAGGAGAGCAAAUCAGGUGGAGAAGUUCUACGAGAAAACUUCGAUACACUUUCUGACAUCCUGGCAGCUCCAAAUAAUCUUUCAGCGAUCAUCAUGAGCUUAUAUGCAAAAAAGCUAAUUUCUGAUACAACUACAACUGAGUGUAUGAAUGAUGGCAGACAAGUUCAAGAUAGAUGUGCUUCAUUACUGUUUGCUCUCAAAGCUACCAUUGAUGGGAAACCUCAGGCAAUGAAUACUUUAAUUGAAGCAUUGAAAAAUAAUGAAGCAUUUAAAGAAAUUGCUCAUAAAAUGGACUUGGAAGUAUCAUACCGCAAUUAUACAAACCCUUAGGGAUUUAGUUUCAGCUCGGUUAAUAAUACUGUUUGUAGUUUUUGUGGUUUUAAUUUUUUCAAUGUCUUUUUGGGUAUUAUGUUAGUAAAUUGUA